rnacentral:rRNA from 1 species
UACGGGGGGGGGCAAGCGUUGUUCGGAAUUACUGGGCGUAAAGGGCUCGGAGGCGGCCAACUAAGUCAGACGUGAAAUCCCUCGGCUUAACCGGGGAACUGCGUCUGAUACUGGAUGGCUUGAGGUUGGGAGAGGGAUGCGGAAUUCCAGGUGUAGCGGUGAAAUGCGUAGAUAUCUGGAGGAACACCGGUGGCGAAGGCGGCAUCCUGGACCAAUUCUGACGCUGAGGAGCGAAAGCCAGGGGAGCAAACGGG